UCAAUCAAGUGCGUCGCAGUUUUAUUAAUCUGCGACGCAAAUGACUCUGAGAACAUCUUAGAGUCAUUUGCCUCGCAGUUUAAUAAAGCUGCGACGCACAGGUGUUUGUGAAUUUAAUUUUUUCUCAAAUUCGCGCUCACCUUUUAAUUGUUUUCUUCAAUAUUCUGACUUGCUCCAAAUGACCUAAAUCUAUCGAAACCAGUUAAGCCCAAAACAUCCGUUCUCACCGGCUUCACCCUUCCGUUUACCAGCUUCACUGCCGUCGUCUUCCCUCCUUCUGCGUCGUUCUCUCCUUCCCCUGCGCCGUUCAACUUGUUGUUCGUUCUCCUCUUCAACCUGCUGCUCGUUCUCUUCUUCCCCUGCGUCGUUCAACUCAAACUAAUCAGUGUCGCUGCUCCGUGUUAACGCCGCCUUCCACGGCAGCCGCCCACGCCGCCGCCCACUCCUCCGCUCCUGGUCACUGUCUUCUCUCCUCUCCUAGGUAAAGAGCUUCACUAUUAUUUUCUGUUAUGUUAAAUACUAGAUGUUGUUAAGGUCCCGUAAGGAUUUUCAUGUGGUUGCCACAGAAGCUGUUUGGUAAUAUGUGCUUGAAUAUUACGUAUACUACCUCCGUAGAUGCUGAAGAUAACAUACAAGAGUUGUUUGUGUUAGGUGUAGAAGCAAUCCCGGAUUGACAGAGGUUUCCUCUAGUUCUGUUGGCUUCUCCUUUUUGUGUUCUUGUUUUAUUUAUUUUCUUCAAAUUUUGUGAAGACUUAACAAAAGAUAGUUGUCGAACACUUGCAUAUCAUUGCAUUGAACAUGAUCGAACACUGUAAUUUUCAAUUGUUGUUGGUAAUUAGAUCACGAAACUGGUGAUUUGGCAA